GAGUCGUUGGGUCGGACACGCUCCGCUAAACCCAUAGGCGCAAUGAAAGUGAAGGCCGCUCUUUGGCGGCCGAGGGAGGACGGGGCCGCUCGGGCGCUCCGGCGCUCGUCGGUCCCCGCACCCCCGGGGCGUCUGAUCCCUCAUCGCGAGGGGAGGCGCACCCAGAGCGCACACGUUGGGACCCGAAAGAUGGUGAACUAUGCCUGGCCAGGACGAAGUCAGGGGAAACCCUGAUGGAGGUCCGUAGCGAUUCUGACGUGCAAAUCGAUCGUCGGAGCUGGGUAUAGGGGCGAAAGACUAAUCGAACCAUCUAGUAGCUGGUUCCCUCCGAAGUUUCCCUCAGGAUAGCUUGCGCUCGGAGGAGAGUCUCAUCCGGUAAAGCGAAUGAUUAGAGGCCUUGGGGCCGAAACGGCUUCAACCUAUUCUCAAACUUUAAAUGGGUGAGAACUCCGGCUUGCUCGACUUGUCNAAGCCGGAGACGGGGCUCCGGCCCCCGGGAUCGGAGUGCAUA
rnacentral:rRNA from 1 species